rnacentral:lncRNA from 1 species
GUAUGACUGAUCCUUUGACCUGCGGUGUGUUGGCUAUUCGCAGUGAGGCUACAUAGUUUGACUGCAUAUUUUCUUGGUCCCUAGCCAUUCAGGUCCUUGCUGUGUUUGUUGGCUAUUGUAGGUUCAGAUUCACUGUUUGAAGUAGGAUGCACCUAAAGAGUCUAUUAACCUUAGUAGAAAUGGAGUGGUCCUAUGCAAUUCGCAAGACUGAGUUCAGGAAGCCU